rnacentral:lncRNA from 1 species
GUGUAUAUUAGUAAAUGCAUGUAACAAUCUAAAUAUUCGACUUCUAUCUUAGACAGAUCUGUUCAUGUGAAAAAUGUUAUAAACCGAACAAUACGAAAUAAAUAAACUAUGAAGGAAAAUCAUGAGCAGUGAUACAUAUCGAGCUUCUUCCUAUCAACUAUGCAAACAGCUUGGUCACGACAAACUUAGCUAAAUAUCAAACAUCAUGUUCAUUAGUGUAACAUCACUGUUAUAUGUGAAAACUGAUUUUCUCAUAACCAAACUACAUGUUAUAAAUCAACUGAUAUGAGGUCAGAUACGAAAGACUGUGGUUAUGAAAUUAUAAGGGCUUUAAAAUAAGUAUUUUUGUUUUUGUUUCGUUUAAGUGAUAUGUUUAUAUGCAAAAAUAGUUGAGGUCUCCUAUACAAAAUGUUAAUGUUCGCCAUGUAUCAUCAUGUAUAAGUCUAAAAACAGAUAUUAGGUAUUCCAGAUGAUCAUUUGCUAUAUAUUUGUUCACGUAUUAUAAAUCAGAAACUUUGUUUCAUUUUGCCAUCUGUGUACUUUGUAGUAUAAUGCAUUAGAUAUCACUUUCAUUGGAGUAUGUUAGGAGGUAUUUUGAACCAGAAAAUUUAUAAACUCCGCCCGGUGAACAUACUAUUUCUCAAUAGUUUCAUACAAAUAGAGGGAAUAUCCAAGAUCACACUUCCUUAUGUAAUAUUUAAUUACUUUCUAAUAUUUCAUACGAUUAUCUACAACUUCCUCGGACAUUUGUAUUGUUUCUACAUUCCUGAUGUUUGAUGUUUAAAUAAUAAGUUGCCCUCAUACGGAAAAUAAAGAUGAAAGAAAGACAAGCGCUAUAAAACUUUUAACUUUGACUUUAAAUCAUUAAGCAACAUUCUAUGUAAAUUAAAUGCAUACACGUUUGCUACAGCAAUGCAUUAUUUCAAUAUCAAAAUUACAUUUGAAUCAAUGUUUAAUUUAAACUAUGUCAUAGCCAACACACAUGAUGUAGGCGACGUUUAAAAUUAUAGGUAUUUCAAAAUGACAAUUUAUUUAAUAUCUUAUCUAACGCCCUAAGUCUAUCAGUUUUUCAUUAAUAAAAGGCUGUGUUUAGAGAAGCCCCGCCUAUUUUAAAGAUGUGUAAUUUACAUCCUUUUUUAAUUAAUAAAAGGCUAUGUUUAGAGAAGCCUCACUCUGUAUUACCUUUACAGGUGAGUUUAACGCCGACUGACAGUACAAUGAGUUGUAUUUAGUACAAGUUCGCCGUGCAGUUCAGCCUUCUUUAGAUAGGUUUUGCUACAAAAUAAAAUAAAAGGGGAAAACAUCGUUCUGAAUUUUAUGAAUUAUACCGUAAGAGGUGUUUUGUCAUGCCACGGUAAUAAUUCCUUCUCCUUCUAAGUGCUUUUUUUGGCGGCCAUAAAACGUCUUUACGUGCUUGGACUCGGUGUUUUUGUUAUUUUCUUAUAAUUUGGGAUCGUGUUGUUAAUUCAGAGUUAUUAUAUGGUACAGAUCAGUGGUGUUGCACUUUUCAUUACUUCUAGUGGACAGACUCAGCUAUAGGUUUAAAAUUGUUGUUUCGCAUAAUAGGCUCACUAUAUUAAUGAUUCUUGUUAUUAAACUAGUAUUGGGUAAAUAGCAUACUGUCUUAUAAAAAGAAAUACAAUGAAAAACAGAUGCUGCAAAAUUAAACGAUUUUCAGAAUUGUGGGGAUCAGAUACAAAUCAAAAACCACAGAAUCAUCGAGAUUCGAGGUAAUUACUAUACAUGUGUAAGAUAACACUCCAUAUAAAAUUAGUCACAUCUCAAACGACCCAUUAAGGGUUUUUCAUUUUUGUAAAAUACCUUGUACGGAUAUAAUAUGGUAAUUUUACGUGAAUCAACCGACCGUGAUUAAACGUCAUUCAUUUAUUUAUUUAUUUCAUUUAUUGCAUAUAGGUCAGUAAAAAGUACACGGAACUUACUGGGAAUAACGUCAUGCAAAUAAGAUGCGAAUGUUUGGCUACAUCUAGAUCCAUAAAUUUUGUGGGCCAGUAUUUGUGGAGGCAGAUUUGAACGAAUUAGGUGUUUUCUACAGCAAAACGGACAGAUAGUGGUCGUUUACACGUCGUCAAACACCAAUGAAAAGAGACCUUGGAAGACGUCGACAAAUGGAUGGCUCCAACAGAAACAAAUACGGAUUGCAGAAAACCCAAAAUCGCCCUCAUAAGAAUAUAGACGACAAUAGAAACCUAGAUGUAAACAUAAAGACAAAUCACAAAACAAACAUACAAGGAUAAAUAUCUAAUAAGAAAAAUCAAAUACUUAGACCGCAGCCUUCUGGAAAUACGGACCAAAAGCAUUGAUGUAUGCUACAAGACAAAUACGUAACAAAGAACAUUGAACUGGUUAAAGUUGUAGUCAAUAGUAAUGUGGCCGAGAAAGAAACGACACAGCGAAAAGAGAAUGAUUUCAUUGCCAAAAUGUACUUUCAUGUGAAACAGACUGCCAUUGCUUUUUUACCCAUUUGUUAUCACACACUAACUGUGGAACUAUAACUGUAAAAGACGUUCAAUACAAUAUGAAAGAUAGAUCAUUAUAAUUUUGUAUACACUCGUAUUCAGUUGUUCAUUUAAAGUCGAUAGAUGAAGAAAAUACCAUUUGUGUCCGAAGAAUAGACAAUAGAAGGACACUUUUACUGUUUAUCGGAGUAUUGUUUUUCACUGAAGUUCUGGCAGCUUGUUGCUAGGAUUAAAUGGUUGGCUGUUGAAACAGAUAACUGCUAGUCUAGCAGUGUUACAGUGUAUUUCCUAGCAACCAGCUGUUAUUACUUUUACCUUCAUAUAUUUUUACAGUGCAUUUCAUUUGUCACACGGCCCUAAGUCAUUAUGGAAGCAGUACAAUAUCUUUGGUGUAACUUCAAAGAACUGACCAUUUACACCAACAAAAAGGCAUAGAAAGGAAGCGGCUAGAAACUGAAGUCUUGAGGUAACCGUUUGUGUCAUUUUACAAACUUGACAAAUGAAAUGACCAUUUAUUGUAAAUAUUAAUAGAUAAAAUGUUUUACGGUUAGUCUAAAAGACUUCAUUCAGGAUUACAACUCUAUAAAUUCUAAAAAAAGUUGCUAUUUUCACAUGCUUUUCUCGGUAUUGUGAUCUAAUCAAUUGCAAAAAGCGAAAAAUACUUGUAUUUUAUGUAUUUAAUCCUUGUAUAGCCUCAAUAGUUGAUAU